GUGUCAGCCGCCGCGGUAAUACAGAGGUGGCAAGCGUUGUUCGGAUUUACUGGGCUUAAAGGGCGUGUAGGCGUCCUGAUAAGUCAGAUGUGGAAGCCUUGGGCUUAACCCAAGAAUUGCAUUUGAAACUGUCAGGAUUGAGUCAUGCAAAGGAGGGCGGAAUUCCUGGUGUAGCGGUGAAAUGCGUAGAUAUCAGGAGGAAGGCCUGUGGUGAAGACGGCCCUCUAGGCAAUGACUGACGCUGAGGCGCGAAAGCGUGGGUAGCAAACAGGAUUAGAUACCCUUGUAGUCC
rnacentral:rRNA from 1 species